rnacentral:rRNA from 1 species
CCUACGGGUGGCAGCAGUGGGGGAUAUUGCACAAUGGGCGAAAGCCUGAUGCAGCGACGCCGCGUGGGUGAAGAAGUAUUUCGGUAUGUAAAGCACUAUCAGCAGGGAAGAAAGAAGACGGUUCCUGACCAAGAAGCCCCGGCUAACUACGUGGCAGCAGCAGCGGUAAUACGUAGGGGGCCAGCGUUAUUCGGAUUUACUGGGUGUAAAGGGAGCGUAGACGGCCGUGCAAGACAGGAGUGAAAGCCCGGGGCCCAACCCCGGGACUGCUCUUGGAACUGUGCGGCUUGAGUGCGGGAGAGGCAGGCGGAAUUCCUGGUGUAGCGGUGAAAUGCGUAGAUAUCAGGAGGAACACCGGCGGCGAAGGCGGUCUGCUGGACCGCGACUGACGUUGAGGCGCGAAAGCGUGGGGAGCAAACAGGAUUAGAUACCCUUGUAGUC